rnacentral:tRNA from 1 species
GAUGUUAAGAUGUUGCUCACCACACCCAAAGACA